rnacentral:rRNA from 1 species
CCUACGGGCGGCAGCAGUGGGGAAUAUUGCGCAAUGGGCGCAAGCCUGACCCAGCAACGCCGCGUGAAGGAAGAAGGCUUUCGGGUUGUAAACUUCUUUUCUCAGGGACGAAGAAAGUGACGGUACUUGCGGAAUAAGCCACGGCUAACUACGUGCCAGCAGCCGCGGUAAUACGUAGGGGGCAAGCGUUAUUCGGAGUUAUUGGGUGUAAAGGGCGCGUAGGCGGGAGCGCAAGUCAGAUGUGAAAACGCAGGGCUCAACCCUGAGCCUGCAUUUGAUACUGUGUGUCUUGAGUGCUGGAGAGGCAAUCGGAAUUCCGGGUGUAGCGGUGAAAUGCGUAGAUAUACGGAGGAACACCAGUGGCGAAGGCGGAUUGCUGGACAGUAACUGACGCUGAGGCGCGAAAGCGUGGGGAGCGAACAGGAUUAGAUACCCUUGUAGUC